rnacentral:rRNA from 1 species
CCUAUCACGGGGACGGGGGAGUACCCCUGGGAAACCAGGGCUAAAACCGCGUACGCUCUCUUGUGGGAGUGCAAGAGAGGAGAGGAUGGUGUGAGGAGCACCGUCUGGCCUGUGCGGGGCAUGCGUCCGAUUAGCUAGUUGGAGGGGUAAGAGCCCACCAAGGCGACGAUCGGUCGCUGGUCUGAGAGGAUGAUCAGCCACACUGGGACUGAGAGACGGCCCAG